rnacentral:rRNA from 1 species
CUCGUAGGCGGUUCAGUAAGUCGGGUGUGAAAACUCUGGGCUUAACCCAGAGACGCCACUCGAUACUACUGUGACUAGAGUUCGGUAGGGGAGCGGGGAAUUCCUAGUGUAGCGGUGAAAUGCGCAGAUAUUAGGAGGAACACCGGUGGCGAAGGCGCCGCUCUGGGCCGAUACUGACGCUGAGGAGCGAAAGCGUGGGUAGCAAACA